ensembl:snRNA U1 U1 spliceosomal RNA
AUAAGAUCAUGGCAGGGGAGAUACCAUGAUCACGAAGGUGGUUUUCCCAGGGCGAGGCUUCUCCAUUGCACUCCGGAUGUGCUGACCCCUGCGAUUUCCUGAAAUGUGGGAAACUCGACUGCAUAAUUUGUGGUAGUGGGGGACUGUGUUCUCGCUUUCCCAUG